CCGUCAAUUCGUCAUCGCCUUCAGUGACCCCCUUUCCUCGGGUCGACCAGGAGACUCCUCAAGUCAUUGGCAAAAUGCCUCUCCGUUUUAACUCUCAAUUUCCUGAUUCAAACUCUGGCCUCAUUCCGCUCAGAUUCGUUGGAUAAGAGGCGGAAAUGAGGAAUGGGAAGAGGGAGAGCUGGUGGGGUUGGGUUUGACAAGGCGCAGCGGUGCCUGGAACCUCCUCGGCGGGGGAGCAGUGGCUCGGCCUGGAACCUGGCGUUGCGUGGUUAAGAGGAUAGCAAUGCGGUUUCUAUAUUUUCAGCUUUGCAGGCUUCUUGCACGACGUCUGCGGUUGUGAAGAUUUGAAACCGCGAAUGGAGGUUUACUUGAGCUUGGCACGUUGCAGCGAAAUUUCCAAUGUGAUGAAUCAAUUGAAAAAGCUAGGUACCUGUUAAGCCCACUUUUGGCAUCCCAACCGAGCUUCAUCCCGGGCAAAAAAGUGUCUGUCGGAUAGUCAAAGCUUUGCCACAGAUAAUUCUCCGGAUCGACGUCGUUUUCUCUCCGAACAACUAAGUUGCCCGAAUCCAGAAGCUGCGCCACGGUGUUCGCCGAGCUCGUCUGGUUCGACGUCGAUGACCACACUACUAUAUUUGCAGCUUCGUCAACCAGCAAAAGGUUUCCAUCGUCGCCGAUUUUCAACGACCCGGACGAGCUGUUUGUCAAUGGGUUGUCUCUGUUAGCAACCCAGACGACGACGGUUCUGUCUGGAUCACUGUCCUUAUACCAAACCCCGACGUACCAUUUGUUUGAAUUUCCCGGGGAGAAGAAGCCCAGUUCCACAACUCCCCCGGCAGAGACCAUGGUUUGGUUGGGGAAGAGAGGCUGCGUUGCGGUGAUGGUUUCAAUGGCCCCGGCGGCGAUUGGGAAGAGAGCGAUCAGAGCGGUGGAGAGCCACAAAGAGCAUUGGGUAUUUCUCAUUCUCUCUCUCUUUCUCUCUGGCCAAUCUGAUAUUUCAAGGAUGGACUCUAAUUCGAUACUCUUCUAGACGUUUAAGAAAGACUACUCAGUUCUGUGGUUACGACUAGGAUGUAAUAUUGAUCACCCCUCACUUGUGAUGGUUC